rnacentral:rRNA from 1 species
CCUACGGGUGGCAGCAGUGGGGAAUAUUGGACAAUGGGCGAAAGCCUGAUCCAGCCAUGCCGCGUGUGUGAUGAAGGCCUUCGGGUUGUAAAGCACUUUCAGUGGGGAAGAAAGCCUUGGGGCUAAUACCCUCGAGGAAGGACAUCACCCACAGAAGAAGCACCGGCUAACUCCGUGCCAGCAGCCGCGGUAAUACGGAGGGUGCGAGCGUUAAUCGGAAUUACUGGGCGUAAAGCGCGCGUAGGCGGUCUGAUAAGCCGGUUGUGAAAGCCCCGGGCUCAACCUGGGAACGGCAUCCGGAACUGUCAGGCUAGAGUGCAGGAGAGGAAGGUAGAAUUCCCGGUGUAGCGGUGAAAUGCGUAGAGAUCGGGAGGAAUACCAGUGGCGAAGGCGGCCUUCUGGACUGACACUGACGCUGAGGUGCGAAAGCGUGGGUAGCAAACAGGAUUAGAUACCCGUGUAGUC